CGCACCUUCGGUGUCAUUGUUAAGGCAAGAUGGCCGAGCGGUCUAAGGCGCCACGUUAAGGUUAACCCUUAAUAUUCCUUCCAAGGUUCCGUGGUCCGAAAGGGCGUGGGUUCGAAUCCCACUCUUGUCAGCACGAUUUUUUUUUGUUUCAAAAGUAAACUUUGUUGACGUCGUGUCCUG
rnacentral:tRNA from 1 species